rnacentral:rRNA from 1 species
AUUCUGGCUCAGGACGGACGCUGGCGGCGUGCCUAAUACAUGCAAGUCGAACGGUCUUUCUAUGGAAGCUUGCUUCCACUGAGAAGAUAGUGGCGAACGGGUGAGUAACACGUGGGUAACCUGCCCAUAAGAGGGGGAUAACAUCCGGAAACGGGUGCUAAUACCGCAUAGUUUUCUUGAUCGCAUGAUCGGGAAAGGAAAGACGGCCUUUGUGCUGUCGCUUAUGGAUGGACCCGCGGCGUAUUAGUUAGUUGGUGAGGUAACGGCUCACCAAGACGAUGAUACGUAGCCGACCUGAGAGGGUGAUCGGCCACAUUGGGACUGAGACACGGCCCAAACUCCUACGGGAGGCAGCAGUAGGGAAUCUUCCGCAAUGGACGAAAGUCUGACGGAGCAACGCCGCGUGAGUGAAAGAAGGUUUUCGGAUCGUAAAACUCUGUUGUCAGAGAAGAACAAGUUGGAGAGUAACUGCUCCAGCCUUGACGGUAUCUGACCAGAAAGCCACGGCUAACUACGUGCCAGCCGCCGC